rnacentral:rRNA from 1 species
CCGUGCGGGUGCUUACACACUGCAGGUUAAACGGUGAAAGGGGAGCUUGCUCCCCUGGAAUCAGUGGCGAACGGGUGAGUAACACGUGGGCAACCUGCCCCAGACUCUGGGAUAACUCCUCGAAAGAGGUGCUAAUACCGGAUACGAGCCCUGCAGGCAUCUGCGGGGUUGGAAAGUUUUUUCGGUCUGGGAUGGGCCCGCGGCCUAUCAGCUAGUUGGUGAGGUAGUGGCUCACCAAGGCGACGACGGGUAGCCGGCCUGAGAGGGCGACCGGCCACACUGGGACUGAGACACGGCCCAGACUCCUACGGGAGGCAGCAGUGGGGAAUAUUGCGCAAUGGGCGAAAGCCUGACGCAGCAACGCCGCGUGCGGGAUGACGGCCUUCGGGUUGUAAACCGCUUUCAGCAGGGAAGAAGCGAAAGUGACGGUACCUGCAGAAGAAGCACCGGCUAACUACGUGCCAGCAGCCGCGGUAAUACGUAGGGUGCAAGCGUUGUCCGGAUUUAUUGGGCGUAAAGAGCUCGUAGGCGGUUAGUCACGUCGGAUGUGAAAACCCAGUGCUUAACACUGGGCCUGCAUUCGAUACGGGCUGACUAGAGUGUUGUAGGGGAGACUAGAACUCCUGGUGUAGCGGUGAAAUGCGCAGAUAUCAGGAAGAACACCGGUGGCGAAGGCGGGUCUCUGGGCAACUACUGACGCUGAGGAGCGAAAGCGUGGGGAGCAAACAGGAUUAGAUA